UACGGGGGGGGCAAGCGUUGUUCGGAAUUACUGGGCGUAAAGCGCUCGUAGGCGGCCAACUAAGUCCGACGUGAAAUCCCAAGGCUUAACCUUGGAACUGCGUCGGAGACUGGAUGGCUUGAAUUCGGGAGAGGGAUGCAGAAUUCCAGGUGUAGCGGUGAAAUGCGUAGAUAUCUGGAGGAAUACCGGUGGCGAAGGCAGCUGCCUGGACCGACAUUGACGCUGAUGAGCGAAAGCUAGGGGAGCAAACGGG
rnacentral:rRNA from 1 species